rnacentral:rRNA from 1 species
UAACAAGGAUUCCCCUAGUAACUGCGAGUGAAGAGGGAAAAGCUCAAAUUUAAAAUCUGGCGGGCUCUGUCCGUCCGAGUUGUAAUCUGGAGAAGCGUUUUCCGCGUCGGACCGUGCAUAAGUCUCCUGGAACGGAGCGUCAUAGAGGGUGAGAAUCCCGUCCAUGGCACGGACUGCCGAUGCUUUGUGAUACGUUUUCAAAGAGUCGAGUUGUUUGGGAAUGCAGCUCAAAAUGGGUGGUAAAUUCCAUCUAAAGCUAAAUAUUGGCGAGAGACCGAUAGCGAACAAGUACCGUGAGGGAAAGAUGAAAAGCACUUUGGAAAGAGAGUUAAACAGUACGUGAAAUUGUUGAAAGGGAAACGCUUGAAGUCAGUCGCGUCCGACGGAACUCAGCCUUGCUUCGGCCUGGUGUACUUUCUGUCGGACGGGUCAACAUCAGUUUUGACCGGUGGAGAAAGGUAGGGGGAAUGUAGCGCUGUUUCGGCGGCGUGUUAUAGCCCCUUGCUGUAUGCAUCGGUUGGGACUGAGGACCGCAGCACGCCUUUUUGGCCGGGGGUUCGCCCCACGUACCGUGCUUAGGAUGUUGGCAUAAUGGCUUUAAGCGAC